AGCACACUUCCAGAUAUAGGGAAAUCUGACUCUUUUCCCCCAGCCUGCUUGGCCAAAUGGGUAUCCUGAGGAGGGUUAUUUCAAGAGAGUAGGUGUCAUCAGGACCAGGGGCUGAUGGGAGUUGCCCGAGGCACAUGGGAGAGUGUGGAAGAACUGGAAAAACUUGGGUGUUGCUGAAGGUGACCUUGAGCUUGGACAAGUGAGGUAACUGACUUGAAAGCAGAGGAAAUAGUAACUUGACCACUACUCAGUACUACAUCAUGGAGAAUCUGUGGCUGAAUAAUUUUCCAGGCAAUAAUUUUAAGUUACCAAAAAUGUGUUAUUAAAAUAGUAGCCAAAUCUCAA